rnacentral:rRNA from 1 species
CAGUCGCCGCGGUAAUACGUAGGUGGCGAGCGUUGUCCGGAAUCAUUGGGCGUAAAGGGAGCGCAGGCGGGCAUGUAAGUCUUUCUUAAAAGUUCGGGGCUCAACCCCGUGAUGGGAAAGAAACUACAUGUCUUGAGUACAGGAGAGGAAAGCGGAAUUCCCAGUGUAGCGGUGAAAUGCGUAGAUAUUGGGAGGAACACCAGUGGCGAAGGCGGCUUUCUGGUCUGUCACUGACGCUGAGGCUCGAAAGCGUGGGUAGCGAACAGGAUUAGAUACCCCUGUAGUCCCUGUCUCUUAUACA